AGCGAACGCUGGCGGCAGGCCUAACACAUGCAAGUCGAACGGCAGCACAGGAGAGCUUGCUCUCUGGGUGGCGAGUGGCGGACGGGUGAGGAAUACAUCGGAAUCUACCUUUUCGUGGGGGAUAACGUAGGGAAACUUACGCUAAUACCGCAUACGACCUACGGGUGAAAGUGGGGGACCGCAAGGCCUCACGCGAUUAGAUGAGCCGAUGUCCGAUUAGCUAGUUGGCGGGGUAAUGGCCCACCAAGGCGACGAUCGGUAGCUGGUCUGAGAGGAUGAUCAGCCACACUGGAACUGAGACACGGUCCGGACCCCUACGGGAGGCAGCAGUGGGGAAUAUUGGACAAUGGGCGCAAGCCUGAUCCAGCCAUACCGCGUGGGUGAAGAAGGCCUUCGGGUUGUAAAGCCCUUUUGUUGGGAAAGAAAUCCUGUCGAUUAAUACUCGGUGGGGAUGACGGUACCCAAAGAAUAAGCACCGGCUAACUUCGUGCCAGCAGCCGCCGUAAGAC
rnacentral:rRNA from 1 species